GAUGAACGCUAGCGGCAGGCUUAACACAUGCAAGUCGAGGGGUAUUGGUUUUCGGACCAAGAGACCGGCGCACGGGUGCGUAACGCGUAUGCAAUCUACCUUUUGCAGAGGGAUAGCCCCAGAGAAAUUUGGAUUAAUACCUCAUAGUAUAGUACUUUGGCAUCAAGGAACUAUUAAAGUCACAACGGCAAAAGAUGAGCAUGCGUCCCAUUAGCUAGUUGGUAAGGUAACGGCUUACCAAGGCUACGAUGGGUAGGGGUCCUGAGAGGGAGAUCCCCCACACUGGUACUGAGACACGGACCAGACUCCUACGGGAGGCAGCAGUGAGGAAUAUUGGACAAUGGGCGCAAGCCUGAUCCAGCCAUGCCGCGUGCAGGAUGACGGUCCUAUGGAUUGUAAACUGCUUUUAUACAGGAAGAAACACUCCGACGUGUCGGAGCUUGACGGUACUGUAAGAAUAAGGAUCGGCUAACUCCGUGCCAGCAGCCGACGG
rnacentral:rRNA from 1 species